GAUCGCUGAUCGAGCGAGAACAGGAUUUAGGGUGUGAAACAGGCCGCGCGGCGGUAGAGCGAUGGGAAGCUCUGCUUAGUGAGGCGAUAGAUCGGUUAAACGGGGACGGACGAUGGCUACCAAAGGUCUUCUUGCUUUUCGUGUUUGCCGAGGGUUACGGGUCACGGGUUACAACCAGAUAAGAUACGUAAAUGAGAAAACGAUCAUUCCGUAGCAUCUAAGAAGGCCGCGUAUCUACGCGCAAAUAUACGAGAAAUAUAAUUCUAUUUCUGUCAUCCUCCUACAUACGUCUAAUCGUAUUAUAAAUGUACGUGGAGUACACGUCCAAUAUCCGUUCUUUUUUUUCAAGGGUACUGAAGAUUCAUUUGAGAUUUUAAACCGAUCUUGAUCCGUUCAUAUAGGAAAUAUUCGAUCGGUCUUACGAUUUGUCUUAAGUCAGGAAAAAUUUGUGACUCGAGAUGGGAAUGAAUAGAAAUAUCGGCUCUGUGAAAAUUUGCGCGUUGCGUUUCCUCGCAGCGUAAAACGGAAUCGGCGGAGAUAAAUCCAAUCGUCGGACGAGCCGACAAUGAGACGAGCAGCCGCUCGGGAUCUAUGGAUCAACGGACAAAGGUCAGAGCUAUGCGACCACGAUCAAUUACAUAAACAAAGUUUUCAUGCAUUCUGAGAAGCAUCGAUCGAGAUUAAAUAGACGAACUCUUGCGAUUUCGCAAUUUCAUUCUGCUCGGUCUCGAGUAAUCGCUCAUACUUGAUAAUUAGGCACUAAUUUAAACGAGGAUCACUCUUUUUUUGUACAUGCUGUACAAAAUGUAAAGUAUGAGACGUCAGACUGAAAAGAUGAAGGAAGUGGAGAGAUGAAGGAGUGCGGAAAGUAUGAAGGGAUGAGUGAGUAGGGAUAAAUGGCAAAGUAAGUCCAAACUUACGAACUGUAGUUCUGAUUAGAUAUGUACUUAUCCAUGUUCAUCUGCAAUAAAAGAUUAUGCCUCUAGUUUGCACAGGCUUA